CUUGAAUAUCUAUAAGAGGUCCAGCCUGCCCAGUGACUUUGUUCAACGGCCGCGGUAUCCUAACCGUGCGAAGGUAGCGUAAUCACUUGUCUUUUAAAUGGGGACUUGUAUGAAUGGCAUCACGAGGGUUAUACUGUCUCCUUUUUCUAAUCAGUGAAACUAAUCUUCCCGUGAAGAAGCGGGAAUAAACAUAUAAGACGAGAAGACCCUAUGGAGCUUUAAACUCAAUAACAAAUACUAACCUUACAUCAACUUUCAGAAGAUCAACCUUAAUUUUAGUAUUAUGAUUGUUAGUUUUAGGUUGGGGUGACCGCGGAGUAAAAAUUAACCUCCACAUUGAACGGGACCUGUCCCUGAGCCAAGAACUACAGCUCGAAGCACCAAUAAAUUGACAUUAAUUGACCCAAUAUUUUGAUCAACGAAC
rnacentral:rRNA from 1 species